UACGAAGGUGGCUAGCGUUGCUCGGAAUCACUGGGCGUAAAGGGUGCGUAGGCGGGUCUUUAAGUCAGGGGGGAAAUCCUGGAGCUCAACUCCAGAACUGCCUUUGAUACUGAAGAUCUUGAGUUCGGGAGAGGUGAGUGGAACUGCGAGUGUAGAGGUGAAAUUCGUAGAUAUUCGCAAGAACACCAGUGGCGAAGGCGGCUCACUGGCCCGAUACUGACGCUGAGGCACGAAAGCGUGGGGAGCAAACAGG
rnacentral:rRNA from 1 species